rnacentral:rRNA from 1 species
GAUGAACGCUGGCGGCGUGCCUAAUACAUGCAAGUCGAGCGAACGGACGAGAAGCUUGCUUCUCUGAUGUUAGCGGCGGACGGGUGAGUAACACGUGGAUAACCUACCUAUAAGACUGGGAUAACUUCGGGAAACCGGAGCUAAUACCGGAUAAUAUUUUGAACCGCAUGGUUCAAAAGUGAAAGACGGUCUUGCUGUCACUUAUAGAUGGAUCCGCGCUGCAUUAGCUAGUUGGUAAGGUAACGGCUUACCAAGGCAACGAUGCAUAGCCGACCUGAGAGGGUGAUCGGCCACACUGGAACUGAGACACGGUCCAGACUCCUACGGGAGGCAGCAGUAGGGAAUCGUCCGCAAUGGGCGAAAGCCUGACGGAGCAACGCCGCGUGAGUGAUGAAGGUCUUCGGAUCGUAAAACUCUGUUAUUAGGGAAGAACAUAUGUGUAAGUAACUGUGCACAUCGUGACGGUACCUAAUCAGAAAGCCACGGCUAACUACGUG